UGGGGAAUAUUGCGCAAUGGACGAAAGUCUGACGCAGCGACGCCGCGUGAGGGAUGAAGGUUUUCGGAUCGUAAACCUCUGUCAGGAGGGAAGAAAGCGCAUGGCACCAAUCAGUCAUGCGUUGACGGUACCUCCAAAGGAAGCGCCGGCUAACUCCGUGCC
rnacentral:rRNA from 1 species